UCCAGGAAGAGAGAUGAAGUUGUCAGGAGA
rnacentral:piRNA from 1 species